rnacentral:tRNA from 1 species
GCCGGAAUGACGGAAUUGGCAGACGUGCUGGACUCAAAAUCCAGUCCUGGCAACAGGGUGCGGGUUCGAGUCCCGCUUCCGGCA